ensembl:lncRNA
GGUGCUGGUUUUGGGGUCUCUGAGGGAAUUUGAGGGGGGCAGUAAGAGCUUUAAGAGAUGAUCUGGGGGCAGUUUUGGGGUGCCCUGCAGGGGUUGGGGCAAUUCUGGGGUCCCCUGGCAGUUUUGGGGUCCCCUGGCAGUUUUGGGGGGUCUGUUCUGUACCCCGGGCAGUUUUGGGGUCCCUGGGCACGUUUGGAGUGCCUGGACAGUUCUGGGGGUCCCCGGGCAGGUUUGGGGCUGUUCACCAGGGAGGUUUGGGGUGCCCUGGGCAGUUUUGGGGUGCCCUGGGCAGUUUUGGGGUGCCCUGGGCAGGUUCAGGGUCCCUGGGCAUUUCUGGGGUCCCCGGGCAGUUUUGGGGUCCCCGGGCAGUUUUGGGGUGCCCGGGCAGUUUUGGGGUGCCCCAUCAGUUUCGGGGUGCCC